UGGGGGAUAUUGCACAAUGGGCGAAAGCCUGAUGCAGCGACGCCGCGUGGGGGAUGAAGGCUUUCGGGUUGUAAACCUCUUUCGCUAUCGAACAAGGCCCGCUUAGGGUGGGUUGAGGGUAGGUGGAGAAGAAGCGCCGGCUAACUACGUGCCAGCAGCCGCGGUAUUACGUAGGGCGCGAGCGUUGUCCGGAAUUAUUGGGCGUAAAGGGCUUGUAGGCGGCUUGUUGCGCCUGCUGUGAAAACGCGGGGCUUAACUUCGCGCGUGCAGUGGGUACGGGCAGGCUUGAGUGUGGUAGUGGUGACUGGAAUUCCAGGUGUAGCGGUGGAAUGCGCAGAUAUCUGGAGGAACACCGAUGGCGAAGGCAGGUCACUGGGCCAUUACUGACGCUGAGGAGCGAAAGCAUGGGUAGCGAACAGG
rnacentral:rRNA from 1 species